UACAGGUUCAGAUUCAUAACAUCUGGAGGAAAGUUUUCUGGCUCACGUGUCUCCCUGACUGUCACAGAUGUUGUGUUGGAGAUGGAUCCUACAUCUGUGUCAGAGAGGGAGAAUGUCACACUGACAUGUAGAACCAAAUGUACACUGGACCCCAUCACAGCCUUCAGUUGGUAUAAGAAUGGACAGCCUAUACCAAACAGCAACACCUCCUCUCCUGUCUAUAUCCUAUUCUCAGUCAGCAGUGAGGAUACAGGCAGAUACUCCUGUGCUGUAGAAGGCCAUGAGGAUCUCCCCUCUGCUGAAGAGACUCUCACUGUCACAUAUGGUCCAAGGAACACCUCAGUGUCAGUCAG